UUGACCUCGGAUCAGAUAGGGAUACCCGCUGAACUUAAGCAUAUAUGGC
rnacentral:rRNA from 1 species